GAAGUGGUGCACGUGCUGCCUGGACUCAUCCAUAAGGUGCACCUGGCCAAGAGUAAUGGUUCAGCCUUGACUGUGUGGGGUACAGGGAAACCACGGAGACAGUUCAUCUACUCACUGGACCUAGCCCGCUCUUCAUCUGGGUUCCUU